rnacentral:rRNA from 1 species
GACGAACGCUGGCGGCGUGCCUAACACAUGCAAGUCGAACGGAGUUGAAAGGAGCUUGCUUUUUUCAACUCAGUGGCGGACGGGUGAGUAACGCGUGAGUAACCUGCCUUUCAGAGGGGGAUAACGUUCUGAAAAGAACGCUAAUACCGCAUAAGAUUGUAGUUUCGCAUGGGACAGCAAUCAAAGGAGCAAUCCGCUGAAAGAUGGACUCGCGUCCGAUUAGAUAGUUGGCGGGGUAACGGCCCACCAAGUCGACGAUCGGUAGCCGGACUGAGAGGUUGAUCGGCCACAUUGGGACUGAGACACGGCCCAGACUCCUACGGGAGGCAGCAGUGAGGGAUAUUGGGCAAUGGGGGAAACCCUGACCCAGCAACGCCGCGUGAGGGAUGACGGUUUUCGGAUUGUAAACCUCUGUCCUCUGUGAAGAUAGUGACGGUAGCAGAGGAGGAAGCUCCGGCUAACUACGUGCCAGCAGCCGCGGUAAUACGUAGGGAGCAAGCGUUGUCCGGAUUUACUGGGUGUAAAGGGUGCGUAGGCGGAUUGGCAAGUCAGAAGUGAAAUCCAUGGGCUUAACCCAUGAACUGCUUUUGAAACUGUUAGUCUUGAGUGAAGUAGAGGUAGGCGGAACUCCCGGUGUAGCGGUGAAAUGCGUAGAGAUCGGGAGGAACACCAGUGGCGAAGGCGGCCUACUGGGCUUUAACUGACGCUGAGGCACGAAAGUG